UACGAGAGGCCCAAACGUUGUUCGGAUUUACUGGGCGUAAAGGGCGCGUAGGCGGCUUAACAAGUCACUUGUGAAAUCUCCGGGCUUAACUCGGAACGGCCAAGUGAAACUGUCAAGCUAGAGUGCAGAAGGGGCAAUCGGAAUUCUUGGUGUAGCGGUGAAAUGCGUAGAUAUCAAGAGGAACACCUGAGGUGAAGACGGGUUGCUGGGCUGACACUGACGCUGAGGCGCGAAAGCCAGGGGAGCAAACGGG
rnacentral:rRNA from 1 species